AGCAGCCGCGGUAAUUCCAGCUCCAAUAGCGUAUAUUAAAGUUGUUGCAGUUAAAAGCUCGUAGUUGAAUUUCGGGGUUAGCAGGUCGGUCGUGCCAUCGGUAUGAACUGGUCUCGCUGAUCCCUCCCUCUUGACGAACUGUGAUGCCAUUAAUUUGGUGUCGCAGGGAAUCAGGACUGUUACUUUGAAAAAUUGAGUGUUUAAAGCAGGCUCACGCUUGAAUACAUUAGCAUGGAAUAAUGAAAUAGGACGUUUGAUCCUAUUUUGUUGGCUUCUAGGAUUGACGUAAUGAUUAAUAGGGAUAGUUGGGGGCAUUAGUAUUCAAUUGUCAGAGGUGAAAUUCUUGGAUUUAUUGAAGACUAACUACUGCGAAAGCAUUUGCCAAGGAUGUUUUCAUUAAUCAAGAACGAAAGUUAGGGGAUCGAAGACGAUCAGAUACCGUCGUAGUCUUAACCAUAAACUAUGCCGACUAGGGAUCGGAUGAUGUUAAUUUUUUAAUGACUCAUUC
rnacentral:misc_RNA from 1 species